GACGAACGCUGGCGGCGUGCUUAACACAUGCAAGUCGAACGCAGUGGCGAACGGGUGAGUAACGCGUAAUCAACCUGCUCUUCAGAGGUGGACAACAGUUGGAAACGACUGCUAAUACCGCAUACUGAAGGCGGGGACUGCGUCUGAUUAGCUAGUUGGAGGGGUAACGGCCAACCAAGGCGAAGAUCAGUAGCAGGUCUUGGAGGAGGAACCGCCACAUUGGGACUGAGACACGGCCCAGACUCCUACGGGAGGCAGCAGUGGGGAAUCUUCCGCAAUGGACGAAAGUCUGACGAAGCAACGCCGCGUGAGUGAUGACGGCCUUCGGGUUGUAAAGCUCUGUUAAUCGGGACGCGGUACCGGAAUAGAAAGCCACGGCUAACUACGUGCCAGCAGCCGCGGUAAUUC
rnacentral:rRNA from 1 species